rnacentral:pre_miRNA from 1 species
GGUCAUUACAUCAGCACCUUGGCUCUAGACUGCUUACUGUGAAAUUGCUAUAGGAACAGUAACAGUCUACAGUCAUGGCUACUGAAGUGUGAC